rnacentral:lncRNA from 1 species
GUCCGCAGCUGCAUUCUUGAAGUCAGUGAGACCAAGAACCCACCAAUUCCAGACACACUGUCAUCAAAAAGUGGGAUAUCUUUUUAAACAGAGAUAACAUUGCAGAAUCUUGGAGUUGGAAAUAGACCUCAGCUGGGGUUUAGUCCUGUUUUCUCCUCAGAGCAGAAGUCCUGGGAUGCCGUUCUGGACUGAUUGUCAGUUUUUUCUCCUGUCCUUGAGCUAUUCUAAUGCCAGACAUCUGUGGCUUUACACAGCCAGGCUUUCAGUUAGAGAACUUGGUUAGCUCAGGUCAACAAAUGCUGCUCUGAGAACACUGACUCCCAUGUGGGGAGACUCUGCACCUGGAGCUCCGGGAGAGCCGGCUCAGGCCUCUUCCUGCUAUCCAGGGAACUGCAGUGGCGUUGGAGGGCCUUGCUGGGGCUGGGGCUGGGGAGAAGGGAUUCCAACCCUACUGAUAAUUCGUUUGGAAACACCGGGCUGUGGAUUUCAGAAGUUCUUGGGCAGCCUGAUUACCACUGGCAGUGAGCCGGGGACGAAGCCGAAGCUAUGAGUGACAGACGGAAAGAACUGGGGGCUUUGGUGAACCAGAGAACACUUAGCUCCUCCAGCCCUGAAGCAGGCGUCACCGCAGGGCUUAUGGUCCUAAGAGCCACUUAGUUUCCUUAUUCAUUAAACUAGUUUAAUUUGGGUUUUCUGCAUCCUGGAGGACACCAAGUCGGUGUGCGGAGGGACCCUGUAGACACGUGUGCAAAGAAUAAGCCGACGAUCAUGGAAUUUCUGAUGACGCCACUGACACGUGGGAUGGAGGCCUCCUUCCCAGGGCACCCCUACACUCAUGACAAUGAAUCCUGGCUCUUAUUCACCCCUUUGGAUUUCACAAGCAAGUAAUACGCUGUCUCUUCAUAGAAACUUUCUCCAGUGCUCGCCUGCCCACAGACCUGGUUAGAGGCCCCGCUUUUUAUGGCCCCCCGGACUUAACCACGUCACAGAAAUCAUCACAUUGUGUUGAGCCUCCUGGGUUUCUUUGGACUGGAAGCUCCCUGAGGGCAGGGUUAUCUUGUUCGUCCUUUCAUCCCCAGGGCCUGGCAUAAGACCUGGCGAAGAGCUGCUGCAUGCUAAAGCUUUGCUAAUUGAAUGACUGUGUGUUAUUUCUUAAAUUCAAUGAGAAAUCACUCUACAAAGUCCAGGAGAAUGAAAGUCUCAAUAACCGAGCUUUCUCUCCCCUGAGCACCUACACAGGAAACUCAAUUACAGUUGCAAGAGGCCUCGAAGACCUGCAGGAUUUAGAAGAAUCCAGGCAUCUCCGGGCCCCUGGCUGGGGCUUCUGCAUCUGACAAUAGAGAUGGCUUUGCUCAGGGGAAGAAUACUUUGGGCUCUGACUCACUCCAUGAGCACUGGGUAGCGUCAAGCAUUUGGAAUGGAUUCAGAUAAGGGCCAGCCCGGCUGGUGCCAGAGCAGGGCACAGAGCCUGUUUCCUACCGAUCCUGGAUCCUGACAGUGCGACUCCGCGUGCGGCUUCUCCCUGCCAUGGUCUUAGAUUUCAACCUGUCUCAGUGUAUGAAGAGCGAGAAGGAUUCAUUCCAGGUCUGUUUGUGAAUCUUUUCUAAGAAGUGUUUCCUAGGCAACUUCUAGAAGGCAUUAAACAAUAAUGGGUUUUAGUUUUUCAAGAAACCUUGGAGAUCUAGGACAUCCUGUCUUUACCAACGGAGACACCAAGGCACAGAGAUUCCAGGGGAUGUGACGGCAGAACCAUUUCCUUGUUCUUGUCGGCUCGCCUUCUGCUGGCUGUGGCUUCCUUUGUGUCUAGCAUGUAACCCUGCAUGCCUAUUCAGGAUUAAGGGAGGCCAAGUUCUGCCUCCUGGCUGGUGAAUGCCGGGAGGCCCAGGAGGAAGCAGUAGCUGGUGAGGGAAACGCGCAGCAGAUUGACAGCUGGGCGGAGCAGGGCAGGCCUCCCGGAGCACAUUUCUGCACAGAGAACUAGGAAGCAAUAAAACAAACUUCACGGAAAGUGGAUCUUAUCCUAAAAAUAGCAGGUUUAAUGCUGACAUGCCUACCUUUUGAUGACUUACGUUUGUUUUUGCAUAAUUAUGAUUACUAAUUUGAAAGCAGCUAGGAAAUAAUCUAAUAAGGAUGAAAAUAAUAAAAAUACAUUUAGAAACGUAAAUUGACAUAAUAUUAUCAUGUUUUAGUCAAUUCAAAUGAAUAUUUCCAAGGAAUUCAGUUUAUAAUUACAUUUAGGAAAUAAUAGUGCCCUAAACUUUUUUUUUUCUUUUCUUUUCUUUUUUUUUUUU